rnacentral:rRNA from 1 species
AUGCACACAACCAUCUACCUAUUAAAACAAGAGACAAAUGACUCCCCCAUGAUCACCCCCACCCUCAAUGGCCGACGCGGCUCUCUCCAUAGGAGGGCAAACUCUGAGUUGGGGCUCCCGGAGUGCCAAGUGGCGCACCUCACGUCCCCCUGCUCGGAUCACUGCCCCAUCAUCCUACGAUGUGCGCGGGAGACUAGGGUGCAGACCGGAAAGACGCGUAGAUACGAAGUUAUGUGGGAAAGAGAACCGGCACUGACGGAGGUAGUUGAAGCGGCCUGGAAAGCAGCCGGUGCAGAGGGCCACCAGGGCAAUAUCAGCGCGGCCCUCCGGUCGACAUUGCUGGCGUUACACAAGGGGAGCAGCAAGAAGGUGGGUAACAUCACAAAGGAAAUUGAGAAAUCCAGAACAAGAUUGGAGGAGCUCACCAAUAUGAAUGCAGACCAUAAUGAGAUACAGAAGGAAUCUGAUCAUAUGAACGAACUGCUAUAUAAGGAGGAAAUGAUGUGGCUUCAACGAUCGUGA